rnacentral:tRNA from 1 species
GCGCCCGUAGCUCAGGUGGAUAGAGCGGGAGUUUCCUAAACUCUAGGUCGUGGGUUCGAGUCCCGCCGGGCGCU